rnacentral:rRNA from 1 species
GAGACACGAAUCCAGACCCUACGGGGUGCAGCAGGCGCGAAAACUUGGCAAUGCGAGAAAUCGUGACCAGGGAACUCCAAGUGCAUCGGGUAAGACCGAUGCUUUUCUUGACUCUUCAAAGGUCUUGGAAUAAGGGGUGGGUAAGGACGGUGCCAGCCGCCGCGGUAAUACCGGCGCCCCAAGUGGUAGUCGCUUUUAUUGGGCCUAAAACGUCCGUAGCCGGUCUGGUACAUUCGUGGGUAAAUCAACCAGCUCAACUGGUUGAAUUCUGCGAGCACGGCCAGACUUGGGACCGGGAGAGGUGUGGGGUACUCUCAGGGUAGGGGUAAAAUCCUGUCAUCCUGAGAGGACCACCUGUUGCGAAGGCGCCACACUAGAACGGAUCCGACGGUCAGGGACGAAGCCUAGGGGCACGAACCGGAUUAGAUACCCGGGUAGUCCUAGGUGUAAACGCUGUGGACUUGAUGUUGGGAGCGCUCCGAGCGCCCUCAGUGUCGAAGCGAAGGUGAUAAGUCCACUGCCUGGGGAGUACGGUCGCAAGGCUGAAACUUAAAGGAAUUGGCGGGGGAGCACCGCAACCUGAGGAUUGUGCGGUUUAAUUGGAUUCAACGCCGGAAAACUCACCAUAGCCGACGGACAUAUGAAGGCCAGCGUAAUGAGCUUGCCGGAUUGUUCGAGAGGUAGUGCAUGGCCGUCGUCAGUUCGUACCGCAAGGCGUUCUGUUAAGUCAGAUAACGAACGAGACCCUCAUCCCUAUUUGCUAACCUGAUCUCCGGAUCAGGCGCACUAUAGGGAGACCGCUGGCGCGAAGUCAGAGGAAGGCGAGGGCAACGGUAGGUCAGUAUGCUCCGAAUGCUAUGGGCUACACGCGCAAUACAAAGGACGGGACAAUGG